AAAAUGAGACAAAAUUAGGAUUCAUAUAUUAUAAAAUCUUAUUGGAUUAUGGAGCUCCGGUGAAGUAUUGCCGAUGAACUCAGGUCAACGCAUAUCGCUAAAAUAACUUCAUCACGGAAAUAACUAAGUUGAACGGGUAAACAAACUCAAACAUAUUAUGGUUGAUGCCAAUAGAAUUAGGUGUUGCUGCUUCCGUUGUAGAGCGCGGGUGUGACGAAUGUUCCGAUGGAGAAAUUUGCAGCUGUCAGGAUUUCACUGGUGAUGAUACAAUGACGGAUUAUACGAGGGUCACUAUUUAUAUUUCGGGAAUUGGCCACACUGAUGUCAUGUGAGUCCAUCUGACGGUUCCAUCGUAAAGUUUGACAUUUUUGACGAUAUACGUACUCAGAACAUUUUGUCAUACGGACGCUAUUUGUUUAUUUUAUAUUUAGUUGAAAGUUUGGUCUCGGCAAAAAAAAUGGAACUGAAUGUUCACACAUU